rnacentral:rRNA from 1 species
AGCGAACGCUGGCGGCAUGCCUAACACAUGCAAGUCGCACGGGGGGGCUUCGGCCUCCCAGUGGCGGACGGGUGAGGAACGAGUAGGGACCUGUCGAGGGGUGGGGGAUAACCGCGGGAAACUGCGGCUAAUACCGCAUGACGCCGCGGCGUGACAGCCGGGGCCAAAGGCGAAAGCCGCCCGCCGAGGGGCCUGCGUCCGAUUAGCUGGUUGGCGGGGUAGCGGCCCACCAAGGCGUCGAUCGGUAGCUGGUCUGAGAGGGUGAUCAGCCACACCGGGACUGAGACACGGCCCGGACUCCUACGGGAGGCAGCAGUGGGGAAUAUUGGACAAUGGGCGCAAGCCUGAUCCAGCAAUGCCGCGUGGGUGAAGAAGGUCUUCGGAUUGUAAAGCCCUUUCGGCGGGGACGAUGGUGACGGUACCCGCAGAAGAAGCCCCGGCUAACUUCGUG